rnacentral:rRNA from 1 species
GACGUAGGGGGCAAGCGUUGUCCGGAAUCAUUGGGCGUAAAGCGCUCGUAGGUGGAUCGGUAAGUCUGCAAAGAAAGACCCGGGCUCAACUCGGGGAACGGUGUGGAUACUACCGAUCUUGAGGCAAUCAGAGGAUGAUGGAAUUCCCGGUGUAGCGGUGAAAUGCGCAGAUAUCGGGAAGAACACCCGUGGCGAAGGCGGCUCUCUGGGACGGUACUGACGCUGAGACGCGAAAGCGUGGGGAGCGAACAGG